CAGGUACUCACUGAGCGAAGGACCCAUGUUGAGCCGGCUGUGCGGACCCCGAGCGGCAGUUGGAUGCAGGCCGGUGGGCGCAGCAGGUGGCCCAGUCUGUGCCAGGCCGAAGGUGUCCCAGGCUUUGGGGGCGCUCCCACACCAAAUCUGAUGUUCUGUUCACGCGUCAUCUCUUAAACAUGCAGAGUCAAACUAAGAUGGCUAUACAUCCAUAGCUGUCAUUGAAUUUGAGCAUAUGAGCAGGUGCCUGCAUAACGUCAGACAAUUGGAGAGCCAGCACAGCUCCAGACCUAAAAAUUGGGCUAUCAGAAGUAACAAGAGGAACUUUAUAUUCCUUGUUACAUACUGAGCCCCAGUAUGACAUACUGAGAACCUGGUUCUAUGGAGCUCUUUCAUCUUUGGUGAAGAAUUGCCUCAAAGAAGGAGGAAAAUAGUGAGUGAAUUGAGCCAGAAAAAGCUACAAAACUGAAGGAACUUUGAACCUAUGACCAAAAGACCUAAGUUGUAGCCCAUUUCUGCUACUUGAUAGUUGUAUGGGCCUGAACAAGGCACUUGUUUUCCUAAUUUUAUGAUGUAUUUGCAAAUUGGAGGUACUAAUCUUUGGUUGUUCUAGUUUUGUUAUGUAGAUCAGAUUAUAUAAUGAACAGGUAAUAUUUUUGUAAGUAGUAGAGGGUCAUCAAUAUUGAACUAUCCCUCUACAGUGUGAAGUAUAGUUACUAUUUGUGGAUUAAGGCACACAUAUCAGUUUCUUCCAUAACUGCCCUUUGGACUAUGAUAUUUUAAGUGAUGAUUUCCAAAUGGGAGGAGGAGGAGUUAGAAUCCUAAGUGACUCAUAAAAGCUACAAGCAAAUUCACAAGUCCCUUGUUUCCGCUCACCAAUCCCGUACAACAAAAAGCACACCAAAGCCCUCUUCUUAUCAGACAGUAUCAAGAGAGCAGGAUGAUUUCAGCCAAAAUCAAGCCCACCGACCCACCACAAACAUCACAGAUGUGCAUAGUGAGUCCUAUCUCUCUCACCACCUGCCAGUUAGAGUCAUUGGGUUGCCCUUCUCUAAUCCCAGGAAAUGGUAAAUAAGAAAACUAGGAAAACCUGUUUUUCUCCCGUGAGACUUUUACAACGUCUCUUAAAGUUUUCUGGCAUUCUUUUAACAAACAGACU